rnacentral:rRNA from 1 species
AUUGAACGCUGGCGGCAGGCCUAACACAUGCAAGUCGAACGAGUCGCGGACUGGUGAGUAAUGUCUGGGACACGGCCUGAUGUAGGGGGCUAACUCCUGUAAACCGUAGCUACUACCGCAUAACAUCCUAUGUGGCCAGAUUGGUUUAGUUAGUUGGUGGGGUAACGGCUCACCAUGGCGACGAUCCCUAGCUGGUCUGAUAGGAUGAACAGCCACACUGGAACUGAGACACGGUCCAGACGCCUACGGGAGGCAGCAGUGGUGAAUAUUGCACAAUGGGCGCAAGGCUGCUGCAGCCAUGCCGCGUGUAUGAAGAAGGCCUUCGGGUUGUAAAGUACUUUCAGCGGAGAGGCGUUACCUGCAGAAGAAGCACCGGCUAACUCCGUGCCAGCAGCCGCGGUAAUUC